rnacentral:rRNA from 1 species
AUUGAACGCUGGCGGCAGGCCUAACACAUGCAAGUCGAGCGGAUGAAGGGAGCUUGCUCCUGGAUUCAGCGGCGGACGGGUGAGUAAUGCCUAGGAAUCUGCCUGGUAGUGGGGGAUAACGUCCGGAAACGGGCGCUAAUACCGCAUACGUCCUGAGGGAGAAAGAGGGGGAUCUUCGGACCUCACGCUAUCAGAUGAGCCUAGGUCGGAUUAGCUAGUUGGUGGGGUAAAGGCCUACCAAGGCAACGAUCCGUAACUGGUCUGAGAGGAUGAUCAGUCACCAUGGAACUGGGACACGUUCCAGACUCCUACGGGAGGCAGCAGUGGGGAAUAUUGGACAAUGGGCGAAAGCCUGGUCCAGCCAUGCCGCGUGUGUGAAGAAGGUCUUCGGAUUGUAAAGCACUUUAAGUUGGGAGGAAGGGCAGUAAGUUAAUACCUUGCUGUUUUGACGUUACCAACAGAAUAAGCACCGGCUAACUUCGUG